GUGCUCGCUUUGGCAGCACAUAUACUAAAAUUGGAACGAUACAGAGAAGAUUAGCCUAGCCCCUGCGCAAAGAUGACACGCACAUUAGUGAAGCGUUCCAUAUUUCA
rnacentral:snRNA from 1 species